rnacentral:tRNA from 1 species
AAGAUUUUAAGUUAACAAAAACUUUAAACCUUCAAAGUUUAACAUAUAAUUUUAAAUUUUUUUAUAAAUCUUA